CCAAUAGCGUAUAUUAAAGUUGCUGCAGUUAAAAAGCUCGUAGUUGAAUUUCGGGACCAUCAUGUCGGUCGUGCCUCGGUACGUACUGGUAUUGUUGGUUUCUCCCUUCUGACGAACCAUGAUGUCAUUAAUUUGGUGUCAUGGGGAAUCAGGACUGUUACUUUGAAAAAAUUAGAGUGUUUAAAGCAGGCUCACGCUUGAAUACAUUAGCAUGGAAUAAUGAAAUAGGACGUUUGACUCUAUUUUGUUGGUUUCUAGGAUCGACGUAAUGAUUAAUAGGGAUAGUUGGGGGCAUUAGUAUUCAAUUGUCAGCGGUGAAAUUCUUGGAUUUAUUGAAGACUAACUACUGCGGAAGCAUUUGCCAAGGAUGUUUUCAUUAAUCAAGAACGAAAGUUAGGGGAUCGAAGACGAUCAGAUACCGUCGUAGUCUUAACCAUAAACUAUGCCGACUAGGGAUCGGAUGAUGUUAAUUUUUUAAUGACUCAUUCGGCGCCUUACG
rnacentral:rRNA from 1 species